rnacentral:rRNA from 1 species
GACGAACGCUGGCGGCGUGCCUAAUACAUGCAAGUUGAGCGCUGAAGGUUGGUACUUGUACCGACUGGAUGAGCAGCGAACGGGUGAGUAACGCGUGGGGAAUCUGCCUUUGAGCGGGGGACAACAUUUGGAAACGAAUGCUAAUACCGCAUAAAAACUUUAAACACAAGUUUUAAGUUUGAAAGAUGCAAUUGCAUCACUCAAAGAUGAUCCCGCGUUGUAUUAGCUAGUUGGUGAGGUAAAGGCUCACCAAGGCGAUGAUACAUAGCCGACCUGAGAGGGUGAUCGGCCACAUUGGGAAUGAGACACGGCCCAAACUCCUACGGGAGGCAGCAGUAGGGAAUCUUCGGCAAUAGACGAAAGUCUGACCGAGCAACGCCGCGUGAGUGAAGAAGGUUUUCGGAUCGUAAAACUCUGUUGGUAGAGAAGAACGUUGGUGAGAGUGGAAAGCUCAUCAAGUGACGGUAACUACCCAGAAAGGGACGGCUAACUACGUG